rnacentral:rRNA from 1 species
AACGAACGCUGGCGGCAUGCCUAACACAUGCAAGUCGAACAAGACCUUCGGGUCUAGUGGCGCACGGGUGCGUAACGCGUGGGAACCUGCCCUUAGGUUCGGAAUAACUCCCCGAAAGGGGUGCUAAUACCGGAUAAUGUCUUCGGACCAAAGAUUUAUCGCCUUUGGAUGGGCCCGCGUUGGAUUAGCUAGUUGGUAGGGUAAAAGCCUACCAAGGCGACGAUCCAUAGCUGGUCUGAGAGGAUGAUCAGCCACACUGGGACUGAGACACGGCCCAGACUCCUACGGGAGGCAGCAGUGGGGAAUAUUGGACAAUGGGCGAAAGCCUGAUCCAGCAAUGCCGCGUGAGUGAUGAAGGCCUUAGGGUUGUAAAGCUCUUUUAACCGGGAUGAUAAUGACAGUACCGGGAGAAUAAGCUCCGGCUAACUCCGUG